rnacentral:rRNA from 1 species
GCAUCACUGGUGUUCGGGUUGUCAUGCCAAUGGCACUGCCCGGUAGCUAAAUGCGGAAGAGAUAAGUGCUGAAAGCAUCUAAGCACGAAACUUGCCCCGAGAUGAGUUCUCCCUGAGACUAUAAGUCUCCUGAAGGAACGUUGAAGACGACGACGUUGAUAGGCCGGGUGUGUAAGCGCAGCGAUGCGUUGAGCUAACCGGUACUAAUGAACCGUGAGGCUUAACCUUACAACGCCGAAG